GAUGAACGCUGGCGGCGUGCCUAAUACAUGCAAGUCGAGCGAACGGAUGAGAAGCUUGCUUCUCUGAUGUUAGCGGCGGACGGGUGAGUAACACGUGGAUAACCUACCUAUAAGACUGGGAUAACUUCGGGAAACCGGAGCUAAUACCGGAUAAUAUUUUGAACCGCAUGGUUCAAAAGUGAAAGACGGUCUUGCUGUCACUUAUAGAUGGAUCCGCGCUGCAUUAGCUGGUUGGUAAGGUAACGGCUUACCAAGGCAACGAUGCAUAGCCGACCUGAGAGGGUGAUCGGCCACACUGGAACUGAGACACGGUCCAGACUCCUACGGGAGGCAGCAGUAGGGAAUCUUCCGCAAUGGGCGAAAGCCUGACGGAGCAACGCCGCGUGAGUGAUGAAGGUCUUCGGAUCGUAAAACUCUGUUAUUAGGGAAGAACAUAUGUGUAAGUAACUGUGCACAUCUUGACGGUACCUAAUCAGAAAGCCACGGCUAACUACGUG
rnacentral:rRNA from 1 species